GUUAUGAAUCCACCAAAUUUAUUUGGAUGGGCAAUAGUAAAGGGUUUAGGGUGCCAUGUCACCAAGAAGGGAUGCAUUCAACAAGCAUGGGUUCGUCUGCAUAUUUCCAGAUCAACUCAGUAUAGGCCCCCUUCAUAUUUACAUCAAUUUUUUUGUUUCAAUUUUCUUUUUCCUUCUAGAUAAAAGAAGUAUAACUUCUUGUCUCCACGCUCAAUGAGACGAUGAGCGUGUCGACUCUUUUGUUGUUUUUUUGGUAGUCGCCUGCCACACGAGGAACCUUAGCUUGUGCUUGCUUCCAGCCUUAUAGGGACUAUCGAGACGGGAUGUGGUGAGUCCAUUUUUUAUAGUGUUUGAUUCUAGGGUGAGUGGGCAUGGGACUGUUCUCUAAGGGGAAUAUUUCCUUAAGAUUUGGGUCAUUCCAUCCAUUGAAAUCAAGAAGCUAGACUGGCUCAUCUCUUAUUGGUACCGUUGUCAUCUGUCUACUUGUACUUGUUGUCCUCGCGUGUGGAGCUUGAGAUAGUGCACUUCCGGUGACGGCGAUUGAGCUCACGCCCACGCCCUUCGAUGAUCAGAGUAUGAUCAUGCCCCUUCUCAUAGCUUGCAUGGCUGUUGCUGGAGCUCCGAUGGGAUCCCUGGGGCCAGCGAGUGGUAGUGCAGCAACCGUGUGUGGCGCUUUUGGGAGAUGGUGGUGCAGGGGAGGCAAAUUGUGGUGUAGGGAGGAAGGGGGGAGAC
rnacentral:lncRNA from 1 species